rnacentral:rRNA from 1 species
AUUGAACGCUGGCGGCAUGCCUUACACAUGCAAAUCGAACGGUAACGGGCCUUCGGGUGCCGACGAGUGGCGAACGGGUGAGUAAUACAUCGGAACGUGCCCGAUCGUGGGGGAUAACGAGGCGAAAGCUUUGCUAAUACCGCAUACGAUCUACGGAUGAAAGCAGGGGACCGCAAGGCCUAGCGCGGACGGAGCGGCCGAUGGCAGAUUAGGUAGUUGGUGGGAUAAAAGCUUACCAAGCCGACGAUCUGUAGCUGGUCUGAGAGGAUGAUCAGCCACACUGGGACUGAGACACGGCCCAGACUCCUACGGGAGGCAGCAGUGGGGAAUUUUGGACAAUGGGCGCAAGCCUGAUCCAGCCAUGCCGCGUGCAGGAUGAAGGCCUUCGGGUUGUAAACUGAUUUUGUACGGAACGAAAAGCCUUCUUUUAAUACAGGAGGGUCAUGACGGUACCGUAAGAAUAAGCACCGGCUAACUACGUG